rnacentral:rRNA from 1 species
UGAGACAGGUGCUGCANGGCUNUCGUCAGCUCGUGUUGUGAAAUGUUGGGAUAANUNNCGCAACGAGCGCAAGCCUUAUCCUUGUUUNCCAGCACUUCGGGUGGGAACUCCAGGGAGACUGCCGGUGAUAAACCGGAGGAAGGUGGGGACGACGUCAAGUCAUCAUGGCCCUUACGAGUAGGGCUACACACGUGCUACAAUGGCGCAUACAGAGGGCANNCAACUUGCGAAAGUGAGCGAAUCCCAAAAAGUGCGUCGUAGUCCGGAUUGGAGUCUGCAACUCGACUCCAUGAAGUCGGAAUCGCUAGUAAUCGUGGAUCAGAAUGCCACGGUGAAUACGUUCCCGGGCCUUGUACACACCGCCCNUCACACCAUGGGAGUGGGCUGCAAAAGAAGUGGGUAGUUAACCUCGGGNGAC